rnacentral:rRNA from 1 species
CGAAGCAUGUGCUCGUCCAUCAUCUUUAUCUCUCCACCUGUGCACAUUUUGUAGUCUUGGAUACCUCUCGAGGCAACUCGGAUUUUAGGAUCGCUGUGCUGUACAAGUCGGCUUUCCUUUCAUUUCCAAGACUAUGUUUUUAUAUACACCAAAGUAUGUUUAAAGAAUGUCAUCAAUGGGAACUUGUUUCCUAUAAAAUUAUACAACUUUCAGCAACGGAUCUCUUGGCUCUCGCAUCGAUGAAGAACGCAGCGAAAUGCGAUAAGUAAUGUGAAUUGCAGAAUUCAGUGAAUCAUCGAAUCUUUGAACGCACCUUGCGCUCCUUGGUAUUCCGAGGAGCAUGCCUGUUUGAGUGUCAUUAAAUUCUCAACCUUCCAGCUUUUAUUAGCUUGGUUAGGCUUGGAUGUGGGGGUUGUGGGCUUCAUUAAUGAGGUCGGCUCUCCUUAAAUGCAUUAGUGGAACUUUUGUGGACCGUCUAUUGGUGUGAUAAUUAUCUACGCCGUGGAUGUGAAGCAGCUUUAUGAAGUUCAGCUUCUAACCGUCCAUUGACUUGGACAAUUUUGACAAUUUGACCUCAAAUCAGGUAGGACUACCCGCUGAACUUAAGCAUAUCAAUAAGCGGAGGAAAAGAAACUAACAAGGAUUCCCCUAGUAACUGCGAGUGAAGCGGGAAAGCUCAAUUU